rnacentral:lncRNA from 10 species
AAAAGCUAAGUGACUUAGAAGAGGCACUCUGAGAUGGCUGACCAAGGAAGAAUGCAAAGCAGAUCUUCUGUUUAAACAACAAAUGACCUGGAGACUCAAAGUGAAGCAGACUCAACAAAAGGUUCAGAAAAGUCAACCAUUAAGCAGAGGAAUGGCCACUAGGCACAGGUUUUUUUAAAUUUAAUGGUAUUGGUCAUGGCCUCACAGAAAACAAAAUUUUCUUCAAGCAAUAGAUGAUAAAUAUUUUGGGCUUUUGGUACUAAUAAGUAGUUCAAAGCCUCAGUAGCUUGAAUUUCAAAACUGAACAGGGCUCAUGGAACUACUCAAAAAUCGUGAGAGGCUGAUGGUUUAAGAAGUGGGAAAGACAUUGCUAAGAUGAUCUGUUUGCUGAUGGCAUUCUGUGACAGCUGCCAGCCUCAAGCAAGAUUGAAGAAUGCUAGAUGUUGAAGUGGCCUUUCUUCUCCUUUGCCUGAAGAGCUCUGAGCAAGGCAGCCAGAUGACCAUGAACUCUGUGUUUGGGAUCUGGAGAUAAGUGGGAGAGGCUCAGAGCAUCCUGCUGAUGCACCAGUUCAGGGAAAGUUAGUUGACGCAACCCUUUGCCUUCCGCUUGGCUUGAAUAAAAUCAGGAAAAGUGGCUUAGACUCAGUACUUUCUCUGCCCUCCUCAGGGUCCACAUGUUUCCUGACCCUUAACCUUUUUUUCUGUUCAGGGGCAGUCACCUGCACAUGAGCUUAGCUGACAAUGACAUCCUGCCCAUCUCAAUGUCCUGUACCCAUCCUUGUGGUUCACUGGGCUGCCCAUGUCUUCUGCAGACAACUCGCUUCAUGUCUAGCCAUUGUCUGACCUAACCAUUCAGCCAAGAUGGUUUUCUUAUUUAACAGGAUUGGAGACCUUUGAAAUGGGCAAGUUGGAGGGAGUCCCCGUAAAAACCAACUAGCUAAUUUACAAAAACACAACCCUCAAGAAAUAAAUUGAACCGCCUUUUUUUUUUUCUUUUUUUUUUUUCUGAUUCCUGUUAAGGAGGGUAUAAUGGCCAAACCUUUUAGGCUGAUGAUAAAACACCUGCUCAACACUAACUGUCCUUUUUUUCUUUCCUUUUAGAAAAAUAUAUACAAAUUUUGGAGCUCUAGUGACAGAAAUGGAUCAACUCUGUGUGUCCAUUUUUCUGGUUACAUCCUAUAGGAAGUAAAUGUACAUUAUAAAUGAUGGAACUCCCAAUUAUGAUAUAGUGGAGAAAGCACUGAGCUGAGGGUUAGAAAACCUGAUUUUUAUAUCAAUUCGGCCACUAAAUACUCUGGACCCUGUUUCUUCAUUAGCAAAAUAAAGGAGAAGAUUGUUGUCUUCUUGUUAUGAAAUGCUUUGCUUCCACGGAUCA